rnacentral:rRNA from 1 species
GUAAUGCCUGGGAAUAUGCCCUGAUGUGGGGGAUAACCAUUGGAAACGAUGGCUAAUACCGCAUAAUCUCUUCGGAGCAAAGAGGGGGACCUUCGGGCCUCUCGCGUCAGGAUUAGCCCAGGUGAGAUUAGCUAGUUGGUGAGGUAAGAGCUCACCAAGGCGACGAUCUCUAGCUGGUCUGAGAGGAUGAUCAGCCACACUGGAACUGAGACACGGUCCAGACUCCUACGGGAGGCAGCAGUGGGGAAUAUUGCACAAUGGGGGAAACCCUGAUGCAGCCAUGCCGCGUGUGUGAAGAAGGCCUUCGGGUUGUAAAGCACUUUCAGUCGUGAGGAAGGCAUAUGCGUUAAUAGCGCAUGUGUUUGACGUUAGCGACAGAAGAAGCACCGGCUAACUCCGUGCCAGCAGCCGCGGUAAUACGGAGGGUGCGAGCGUUAAUCGGAAUUACUGGGCGUAAAGCGCAUGCAGGCGGCUUGUUAAGCCAGAUGUGAAAGCCCGGGGCUCAACCUCGGAAUAGCAUUUGGAACUGGCA